rnacentral:rRNA from 1 species
GACGAACGCUGGCGGCGUGCCUAAUACAUGCAUGUAGAACGCUGAAGAGAGGAGCUUGCUCUUCUUGGAUGAGUUGCGAACGGGUGAGUAACGCGUAGGUAACCUGCCUUGUAGCGGGGGAUAACUAUUGGAAACGAUAGCUAAUACCGCAUAACAAUGGAUGACACAUGUCAUUUAUUUGAAAGGGGCAAUUGCUCCACUACAAGAUGGACCUGCGUUGUAUUAGCUAGUAGGUGAGGUAACGGCUCACCUAGGCGACGAUACAUAGCCGACCUGAGAGGGUGAUCGGCCACACUGGGACUGAGACACGGCCCAGACUCCUACGGGAGGCAGCAGUAGGGAAUCUUCGGCAAUGGGGGCAACCCUGACCGAGCAACGCCGCGUGAGUGAAGAAGGUUUUCGGAUCGUAAAGCUCUGUUGUAAGUCAAGAACGAGUGUGAGAGUGGAAAGUUCACACUGUGACGGUAGCUUACCAGAAAGGGACGGCUAACUACGUGCCAGCAGCCGCGGUAAUACGUAGGUCCCGAGCGUUGUCCGGAUUUAUUGGGCGUAAAGCGAGCGCAGGCGGUUUGAUAAGUCUGAAGUUAAAGGCUGUGGCUCAACCAUAGUUCGCUUUGGAAACUGUCAAACUUGAGUGCAGAAAGGGAGAGUGGAAUUCCAUGUGUAGCGGUGAAAUGCGUAGAUAUAUGGAGGAACACCGGUGGCGAAAGCGGCUCUCUGGUCUGUAACUGACGCUGAGGCUCGAAAGCGUGGGGAGCGAACAGGGUUAGAUACCCUGGUAGUCCACGCCGUAAACGAUGAGUGCUAGGUGUUGGAUCCUUUCCGGGAUUCAGUGCCGCAGCUAACGCAUUAAGCACUCCGCCUGGGGAGUACGACCGCAAGGUUGAAACUCAAAGGAAUUGACGGGGGCCCGCACAAGCGGUGGAGCAUGUGGUUUAAUUCGAAGCAACGCGAAGAACCUUACCAGGUCUUGACAUCCCGAUGCUAUUUCUAGAGAUAGAAAGUUACUUCGGUACAUCGGUGACAGGUGGUGCAUGGUUGUCGUCAGCUCGUGUCGUGAGAUGUUGGGUUAAGUCCCGCAACGAGCGCAACCCCUAUUGUUAGUUGCCAUCAUUCAGUUGGGCACUCUAGCGAGACUGCCGGUAAUAAACCGGAGGAAGGUGGGGAUGACGUCAAAUCAUCAUGCCCCUUAUGACCUGGGCUACACACGUGCUACAAUGGUUGGUACAACGAGUUGCGAGUCGGUGACGGCAAGCUAAUCUCUUAAAGCCAAUCUCAGUUCGGAUUGUAGGCUGCAACUCGCCUACAUGAAGUCGGAAUCGCUAGUAAUCGCGGAUCAGCACGCCGCGGUGAAUACGUUCCCGGGCCU